UGCCUCGUGGCGGAAUGAAACGCGGCGGACCGCAAAUCCGUGCAUCCCCGGUUCAAAUCCGGGGCGAGGCAUCCA
rnacentral:tRNA from 1 species